rnacentral:lncRNA from 1 species
GGCCGCAACUUUUUGGAUACUAAUGUAUUUUUUCCCUUGUUUUGUCUCCAUAGUUCCAAGCAUGGUCCAAUUAUAUUGGUCAUCAUUCUCAUGCUGGUAAACAGAAAAGAUAUUGUAAAACCAUAAUGCAUAGCAAUUAGAUUCUCCGAAAUAUCAAUCUAAAACAACAGCAACAUGUGAAACUAACUUAGUUUAGUUAUUUUAUCAAACCCAUAACAGGUAACAAGCACAUGUGCAACAAAAAGGUAAGAAGUUAAAAGAUAGUUGUAAAAAGGUAAUCACAUACAAAAGCAAUAUUUAUUUUCCCCACUAAGAUAGUUACAGAGUAGAUCAAAAACAAGUAUGGUCCAGUGCAGAACUGCAGACUCUUAUAUAUUUACUUGUAACUAGUGACGAUACAAACGCUUAUCUGAAAAAUUGGGCUAUCGAGUGUGAAAGGUGACAAAUAACCUACAAAUAAACUAAUAGAAGAAAUCAAAUGCAUUGAAGAGUGGAUUGAUCACUGAAGUGCAGUGGGGGGAAAAACUCUGUUAAGAUUCAUCGAGUGUGAUGAAGAUAACAGCAAGAAAAGACCAAGCUCUCCAAAUUGAAACUAAGAUAACAUAUCAAUACCUCAAAAAAUAAAGACAUGUUUGAAAGAGCACAACCAGAAGGACAGGGUACCUUCAUCUCAAAAAGAACAAAGUUUUUUUUUCUCAAUCGGGUGGUUAACCCGUAUUUCAUUAAGAGGAGCGUAACAACCUGUUACAAAGUUUAACCGUCAUCGGCGAGCAGCCAAUAAAUAGGCAGUAGCAACCUAACUACUGGAUACAAAUUUUGUUGUAAUUACAUUCGAUACCUUAAUCUCAAAAAGGACAAAGUACCUUAACAAACACCCAAGAAGGCAGCAUGCCGUCACCAAUAACCCAAGUAACUAGACCCUGAAUGUCCUGCAUUACAAGAAAAUGGCUCUUUACUAAACUACAAGAACAAGAAUAGUUUUCACGAGCCAAAUUUCAUUAAGCUUUUGUUAUGAACGAACCUACAGAUUUAAUGUAGUGUUUAAAGCAGCCUCCUUGAAAAUAACAUCAGGCUUCGCCUGGACAGGAUAAACAAGAAGAGACAGUAUGAGUUGGAAGCACAAAAAAUACGAAAAAAAAGACAGCUAUGAUGUCUAUGAGAAAAGUAAGCAGGCAGCAGCACAAGAAUGAUUCACCAGCAAGCACACAACUAACAGCUAACUUUUCAACUAAAUGAAGGUUUGAGAGUACACUAUUAAAUUAAUAAGUAGGCAGCAUGCCAUCACCAAAUCAUUAUGCCAUGCCGAUAGCUCUAGUACAAAGUACAAACAAGUGAUUUUGGAUUCAACUUAGAAAGUCCCUAAUUGAUGAGUGAUCCCUAAGUUGAUGAGCAAGCUCUGAAGUCUGAACACAGUACAGAUAGCACUGCUCCAAAUGCAGUAUCACUUUACUAUUCGAACAAGAGGAGCCGCACUUUGCUACCUAUCAAGCAAUCAAUCAGGAUUCACACCUUCGACAUUCAAGUAUAGAACUCCUAAGUAAACAAGCUACGAAAGUUUUCAAGCUGUGUCCAGUGUCCUUGAAAAAUGUUGAACCGGCUCAAGGUUGAUCAAUGGAUCAAUCCAGUAAGCCCUUGUAUUUAGUCUCCCAACCUAUCAGCUAUCCAUGACAUCCAUUUUGUGCAAUUUUGCUUUGAUGAAACAACAGAGCAAACUUAAUAGGUACAGUUCACGCCACACCAACAGUAGCAGCAUUUACACAAAAAUCCCACCUCACUACAAAUCCCAUGGUAAUUCAACGAACAUUGAUGCCAAUCACAGUCCCAUCAGUCGUGAUGCAAUGCAACACCCCCUGUUUCAAUCUCAGCAGAACUCCUACUCGAAGAAUUCCAACCAAUCAAAUUAACAUAUUCGUAGAUAAAACCAACCACCUGCAUGCUGCAGCGCCCAAUUUUGCCAUACAUCGGAGAUUUUUUAAAAAAAACACUAACAGAACAACAGAGAAUGCAAAAAAUGCGAUCUUUUUUCCAAUAACGGACCAACUCAGCUCAACUCGAUGACAAAUUCCCCUUCAUGUCACACCACGCCGAAACCUUAAUUUUCCGAGAGGGGACGGGGGAGCGGGAGGCGAAGAAGCAAGAGAGCACGUACGUUAGGGCCGUAUAAGUCGUAGAGCGCGGAGGAGGAGGAGGCGCCGCCGCCGUUGCCGUUGCCGGAAGGGGUCGACAUGGAGGCCACCGCCGCCGCCGAGGUGGAUGCCCUAGUGCUUCUGUGCCGCCGCCGACCUUGCGAGUGUCCUGCCUUCGGGACUCGAGUGUCGAGUUGGCGAGUCUGAGCUGGUUGCAUCGUGGCUGUGCGACGUGGUGAGGGCGCAAAGUAGAGAUUGGAAGGAGGAAGAGGACGGUGGUGCGGGCAGCCGGCGGGGGUGGCUAGCGGGGAGAGCGGCCGGCAGGGGCGCGCGGCGGGGCGAGCGGCCGGGCGGCGGCGCGAGCAGCUGAAGGGGCGCGCGGCGGGGCGAGCGGCGGCAGAUGGUAGAGAGAAAAUGAGGCUUUGGUGUAUUUGGUCUGUGUGAGUAGUUAGGGUUUACAUGACUUUUGGGCCAAAAUUUUUG